GACGAACGCUGGCGGCGUGCUUAACACAUGCAAGUCGAACGGUGAAGCCCUUCGGGGUGGAUCAGUGGCGAACGGGUGAGUAACACGUGGGCAAUCUGCCCUGCACUCUGGGACAAGCCCUGGAAACGGGGUCUAAUACCGGAUAUGACUGUCUGCCGCAUGGUGGAUGGUGGAAAGCUCCGGCGGUGCAGGAUGAGCCCGCGGCCUAUCAGCUUGUUGGUGGGGUGAUGGCCUACCAAGGCGACGACGGGUAGCCGGCCUGAGAGGGCGACCGGCCACACUGGGACUGAGACACGGCCCAGACUCCUACGGGAGGCAGCAGUGGGGAAUAUUGCACAAUGGGCGCAAGCCUGAUGCAGCGACGCCGCGUGAGGGAUGACGGCCUUCGGGUUGUAAACCUCUUUCAGCAGGGAAGAAGCGAAAGUGACGGUACCUGCAGAAGAAGCACCGGCUAACUACGUGCCAGCCGCCGCCGUAACAC
rnacentral:rRNA from 1 species